AUCACCGAAGUCAAGCAUCAUUGGGCGCGGUCAGUACUUGGGUGGGUGACCACCUGGGAACACCACGUGCCGUU